CCUACGGGAGGCAGCAGUGAGGAAUAUUGGUCAAUGGACGAGAGUCUGAACCAGCCAAGUAGCGUGAAGGAUGACUGCCCUAUGGGUUGUAAACUUCUUUUAUAUGGGAAUAAAAUGUUCCACGUGUGGGAUUUUGUAUGUACCAUAUGAAUAAGGAUCGGCUAACUCCGUGCCAGCAGCCGCGGUAAUACGGAGGAGCCGAGCGUUAUCCGGAUUUAUUGGGUUUAAAGGGAGCGUAGGUGGAUUGUUAAGUCAGUUGUGAAAGUUUGCGGCUCGACCGUAAAAUUGCAGUUGAAACUGGCAGUCUUGAGUACAGUAGAGGUGGGCGGAAUUCGUGGUGUAGCGGUGAAAUGCUUAGAUAUCACGAAGAACUCCGAUUGCGAAGGCAGCUCACUGGACUGCAACUGACACUGAGGCUCGAAAGUGUGGGUAUCGAACAGGAUUAGAUACCCCAGUAGUC
rnacentral:rRNA from 1 species